rnacentral:rRNA from 1 species
GACGAACGCUGGCGGCGUGCUUAACACAUGCAAGUCGAACGGAAAGGCCCUGCUUUUGUGGGGUGCUCGAGUGGCGAACGGGUGAGUAACACGUGAGUAACCUGCCCUUGACUUUGGGAUAACUUCAGGAAACUGGGGCUAAUACCGGAUAGGAGCUCCUGCUGCAUGGUGAGGGUUGGAAAGUUUCGGCGGUUGGGGAUGGACUCGCGGCUUAUCAGCUUGUUGGUGGGGUAGUGGCUUACCAAGGCUUUGACGGGUAGCCGGCCUGAGAAGGUGACCGGCCACAUUGGGACUGAGAUACGGCCCAGACUCCUACGGGAGGCAGCAGUGGGGAAUAUUGCACAAUGGGCGGAAGCCUGAUGCAGCAACGCCGCGUGCGGGAUGACGGCCUUCGGGUUGUAAACCGCUUUCGCCUGUGACGAAGCGUGAGUGACGGUAAUGGGUAAAGAAGCACCGGCUAACUACGUG